GUCCACGCCGUAAACGAUGCAUACUAGGUGUUGGCCUUUCGGGGCCAGUGCUGCAGUUAACGCAUUAAGUAUGCCACCUGGGGAGUACGUCGGCAACGAUGAAACUCAAAGGAAUUGACGGGGGCCCGCACAAGCGGUGGAGCAUGUGGCUUAAUUCGAUGCAACGCGAGGAACCUUACCUGGGCUAAAUCCACAGCGCUACCUCUGGAAACAGAGGGUUCCUUCGGGACGCUAUGGAAGGUG
rnacentral:rRNA from 1 species